AUGCAUUCAUUAAAAAUGCUCCUCAAGUGGCUAAUUUGUCCCGGGGUUUGGGAGAGCUGGCAGAACACACCCAGAAAUGAGGACAGGGCUGUCCGUUAUUCAUUAGCGUCUGUCCCCGCCUUUAGCCACUUCAGGCUCAUUGUGGAUGUUAAUGAAAUGUUUGUGGAUCUGAACAGAGCCCAGAAGAGCUCAAAAACAACCCCUCUCCACUGUGCUCUCCCGCAGAUCAAUCCAGGCACGCACAGCCCCACCGAAGUCAAGUCCCACGUCACCGAGGCAAAGCUGAGCUCCCAUUAUGGAACAGAAGACCAGGACACCCACACUGAUCAUUACAGCACCCUGGGCUCAUUCCCCCAGCAGGUGCAAAACGCAGAGAGGCUUCCUGGCCAGGGGCAUUUGCACGGCUGGCAGCAGUGCAAGCCGAUCUCCACUCAAGUUCAGAAGAGGGCCGAGCAGAGCGCUGACUUUCGUCCCUGCGUUCCUGGCCUUGAGUUAGGCGUUCUCUCGCCACCGCCUCGUCGCUCUUCCCAGGCCCUUGGAAGAGCAGGGUUUUUCUUCUUCGGCAAGGCAAAGCUGAGAGGCUCAAGGUCAUGGAGGUAUCCUGCAGCAGUCAGGGCUUGGCCUGGCCCAGGUUGGCAGGGACACAGCAUAGUGGGGGUUGGUGCGGUUGCGCUUGGAGAAACUGGCCCGGGGAGGGCAGCCUGCAAGGACUUUGCACUUCCCCACAGGGGAGAGUGCGGCUCAGCUCCCCAGGGGAGAGAGCAGAGAGAGGAGAUUGAGAGCGUGCAGUGCAGAGACAGUCGCAAGGACGGAUCACAGCUCCACCCCACGCCAGCUUGUGACGGGGUUGGGGGGAGAUGGAAAGAGGGACAAGUUACAGAACUCCUCCAAGCCCCAUGCUCCUCGUCUGUAAAAUGGACACAUUCGCAGCAGUGCUCUCGCCUGGGGCUGUCAGGCUGGGGCGUGAGCUGGAAACCUUGCCUGGAGGAUAGCAGCUGCAUGUUAGUCAUUCAGAAGGCCACGUGGCACAACUGAUCGUCCUGACCUAAGGAUUCAGUUCCUCUCCUGGGGAGGGGUGUCAAGCACCUCCACCUCCCCCCAGGAGCGCGUGCUCCCCAUACCCUGGUUGCUUGUCCACCCCAGCUGUUCCUGUUCCACCCCAACUCCGAUGGGCUCCGCCCCUCUCACCAUGACAACCUCCUCCAGAGUCCUGGAGUCCAGUGUGGCCAGCUGGCAACAGCCUGGGCGGCUUGGGAGAGCUAAGGCUGCGUGGAGUAGCCCACGGGCAGCAGGAGGUAGAGCCAGGGUCAGACACCCCCCCCUCGCCCCCGCUCUCACGUCCUCCCGUCCCCAACACUGUCUGCUCCAGGCUGCAGUGAGCUGCAUGGGUGGCCACACAACCUUCCUCCCCCUUCCCUGCUUGUCCACCCCCUUGUUGGCCCAGCAGUGUCUCUGGGAUCAUUCUGCCCAGCACAGCAGUGGCGCCCAGGGCUCUCCCAGGAACUCCAGGCUGAGAGAGCCAGAGUCUAAGAGAAAAUGAUUUCCACCCUCGUUACCAGUAACUGCAAUGCUGGAAGCAGGGAGGAGGGGAAGAUGGGGGUGGUGGGGUUCGAGGGAGGCAGGGAGAGACACAGAGAGAGAGGACAUUGGCGAUAUGGAAGAGGCUGAUGAUGGGUGGGCUACUGGUCUGGCAGUGAAGAUGUCGGUUACGAUGCCCGUGUCCAUAUGUGAUACCCGGAUUCAAUCCUAACUCCAGCUUUCCGCUACUGCAGACCCUGGGAGGCGACAGGUGAUGGUUCCAGUAAUUGAAGCCCUGCCACCCACGUGGGAGACCAAGUUCAUGGCAACCACUUUUGGCUCCAGCACAAGCCUGGCCAUUGCAGGCGUUUGGGGAGUAAACCACAGGAUGGGUUCUCUCUCUUUCUCCCUCCCUCCCUCCGUGUCUCUCAAGUAAGUUUUCAAAGCAUGUUGAGGAUGCCAGGAGUCGGGACGAGGACAGAAGUCCGUGGCACAGACUGCCUGGUCCACGUUGUUG
rnacentral:lncRNA from 1 species